CAGCAGCCGCGGUAAGACAGAGGAUGCAAGCGUUAUCCGGAAUGAUUGGGCGUAAAGCGUCUGUAGGUGGCUUUUCAAGUCCGCCGUCAAAUCCCAGGGCUCAACCCUGGACAGGCGGUGGAAACUACCAAGCUGGAGUACGGUAGGGGCAGAGGGAAUUUCCAGUGGAGCGGUGAAAUGCGUUGAGAUCGAAAAGAACACCAACAGCGAAAGCACUCUGCUGGGACGACACUGACACUAAGAGACGAAAGCUAGGGGAGCAAAUGGGAUUAGAUACCCCUGUAGUCCCUGUCUCUUAUAA
rnacentral:rRNA from 1 species